UCUCCUUCUUCCUCCCUAAGCCUGAUCCCCUUCCUCUUCAUCUUCCCCAAUCGGCGCCGGCGCCGCUUUGCGCUUCCUGUCCCACGCGAACAAAGUAUCGGCAAGGGAGGAAACCGGGCAGAUCUCCUCCCCCUUCCCUCAUCUUCAAUGCUGACUCUCCUCUUCUCCUGAGCUCUGCCCUAGCCUCUCCGCAAUCCGCCAUCAUUGAAUGGAGCAGCGUCGACCACCUGAACUCUCCGGCGUGCCUUGUCAUGCCCUAGAUUGGGUCAAUAGUCGCCUUCCCUCUGCACUAGACACAGUCGGCGCCGUCGCAUUCGACCAUCGGACUGGGCUACUUCAGCGACAUCGUGCCCUAGCCAUCCUCGCCGCCCCUUUCCUUCCUCUCCCGAUCAACUCUUGUGCACGACAUCAAUCACUGUACGACGGUCACCAUGAUCACCCCUUCCAUUUGUUUAGACAACAAACUAUCUCCUCUUUCUCUCACGCCGCUACGAUCCACCACCAUGCCUAGGGCAGAGGGGUAUCUACUCUGAUCACUGUCGAAAACUUGAGACAUUCCUAGUAAAUCGAUCUGCCAGUCACAUCCUCUUUUCCUCACGCGAGCACCACAUGCGCAUCACCACUUGUUGCUUGCUGCCAUUGUCGAUCUAGGGUUUACGACCACCAAAUCUGAGGUGGUUUCUAGUAGCUACUCAAUUUCGUCGGCUGCCCUACUUGGCUGAGGAUCAACAAGAGUGGCUUGGUGUUAAGGUUGAUGCUGUCAGGAGGUUCCAGUCGCUAGUCCCUCACCACUUCGUGUCGCGACGAUUUUUGGUUUACGGACUUGGGUUCCUUGUUUGUGUUGAUCUACUAUGUUGAUUUAUAUAUGUGUGAUGUAGGAUUAUACUUGAGGAUUUUAUCGACUUAUGGCCUACUGCAUUUGUUUUUCUGCUGUGUUAGAUUUUCUGUCAUGGGUUUACAUUUUCCAUCAUUGUAGUGGAGUAGGUGGUUUUCAAAUAUAAAUUGUAUGGUUGUGUCAGCCAGAGAUUGAAAUAUAUAAACUGCGUGGUUGUUUAGUUAUGUU